GGUGAGUUGGCGGAAUGGUAACGCACUCGACUGCUAAUCGAGAGGUUCUUUUUAAAAGGACUUAUGAGUUCAAGUCUCAUACUCACCG
rfam:Oleiphilus sp. HI0009 HI0009_c631, whole genome shotgun sequence.